GAUCCUGGCUCAGGACGAACGCUGGCGGCGUGCUUAACACAUGCAAGUCGAACGUGAUUUUUGUGGAAAUUCUUUCGGGAAUGGAAAUGAAAUGAAAGUGGCGAACGGGUGAGUAACACGUGAGCAACCUACCUUACACAGGGGGAUAGCCGUUGGAAACGACGAUUAAUACCGCAUGAGACCACAGAAUCGCAUGAUAUAGGGGUCAAAGAUUUAUCGGUGUAAGAAGGGCUCGCGUCUGAUUAGCUAGUUGGAAGGGUAAAGGCCUACCAAGGCAACGAUCAGUAGCCGGUCUGAGAGGAUGAACGGCCACAUUGGAACUGAGACACGGUCCAAACUCCUACGGGAGGCAGCAGUGGGGAAUAUUGCACAAUGGGGGGAACCCUGAUGCAGCGACGCCGCGUGAGCGAAGAAGGUUUUCGAAUCGUAAAGCUCUGUCCUAUGAGAAGAUAAUGACGGUAUCAUAGGAGGAAGCCCCGGCUAAAUACGUGCCAGCAGCCGCGGUAAUACGUAUGGGGCGAGCGUUGUCCGGAAUUAUUGGGCGUAAAGGGUACGUAGGCGGUUUUUUAAGUCAGGUGUGAAAGCGUGAGGCUUAACCUCAUUAAGCACUUGAAACUGGAAGACUUGAGUGAAGGAGAGGAAAGUGGAAUUCCUAGUGUAGCGGUGAAAUGCGUAGAUAUUAGGAGGAAUACCGGUGGCGAAGGCGACUUUCUGGACUUUUACUGACGCUCAGGUACGAAAGCGUGGGGAGCAAACAGGAUUAGAUACCCUGGUAGUCCACGCCGUAAAC
rnacentral:rRNA from 1 species